GCUAGAAUACUCAUGCUGCCAGUGAACAAUGGCGUGAAAUCUAUAAAGACAGCACCUUUGUCAUGCACAGAGUAAUUAAAAAAUGAAAAAUCAAAAGUCUUCCUGGUGGUAUUUCACAGACAAACAGUCCCUUGUGUCUUGAAGGACUUUUUGUGAUGGUGGCAGAUGUUUUGUUCAGUGCCAACAUUUGGAAAUAUUAUCACCCAUUAUUCUCCAUUUGAAAAAUAAUAAUUUUAAAAGGUAGUUAUUACAGAAAUGCCACAUUCCUACUUUUGUAUAGUAUG